UGUGUUGUUGCUGUAAAAAGAAACCUUUAUAAAGUUUUUAUUUCCUCUUCCUCCAUUUGUUGUUGUUUGGGGGAGAUUUCUGCUUGUUGUUUGCUUUGUGUUGUUUUCUAAAGUUGAAACACAAGUCCCACCUCUACUGAUUUCCUAGAACUGACCUGGAAAACUAGGAAAAACCUGAGAGCCUGCCAGCUUUCUUGGGGCACCUGGAAUACACGAGCUUUCCUAAUGCUCCUAGAUAUCACAGGGAGGAAUCCUAGCUUUCCCAUUUAAUAAAUGCAGAAAUUAAUAAAAUACUAAAUUGCCAUUUUUCUUGACAGCUGUAAACAAAACCUUGGCAAUCAGCCUCUCUGCAGCCUGGAAGUUGGGAAAUAGAGGCAGACCUUCAAUUUUUUUUUUUAAGUAUUCCAUUAUUUUCAAGCCAACUUUGUGUGGGGGGGAGUGCUGAGGAGGAGACUCUGGAUUUUUUCACACUCGACUGUGUCAGUGCUAAACACAGAGACUGGGAGCUGGAAAUAAAAAAAAAAAAACACACUUUGAUACUGCAAACACUUGGACUGGAUUUUAACAUCACAUGCUCGAGCCUACGAACACAGAGCCAGACUGGGUCAGCCCCAACUUCCUGUCUCCAGCAGCAAGCAGUAGCAGACUCCCCAGUGCUCAGUGCUAUUUGUUGACAGAACACUGUCUUUUUUUUUCCCCCAUUUUUGUUUUUUUCUUUCUUCUUUUUUUUUUCCUUAUUUUUUCCUCGAUUUUUUUGCCUGUAACACGGUGUGACCAAGAGCAGGCACACCCCAGUGCAAUUGUUUGCUGUCGUGUUGAAAUGCACCUGAGAUUGACAAAGUUCCCUCCACUCCAGGAGUGUUACACAACACCUCAGGGCACUAUAAAUCCAGGAUUUCCCUCUUCUUCAUCUCCUUACAGGCCCUUCACUCCUCCCCCUGGUGGGACCUCCACCCACGAGCCAUGCGGAUCCUCCAGCUGCUCUUUGCAGUCAUUGUCAUUCUCCUCCUCCAGGACAUUCCAGCAGCCAGAGGUCUUUCAGACAGCCAGCAGUGCAGGAGCAACCGUGGCCGCUGCCGGAGGCUUUGCUUCCACAUGGAGCGCUGGGAAGGGAGCUGCGGGAACGGCCGCCUGCGCUGCUGCCGGUGACGGGGGGCCCACCAGGACAGAGCCCAGCACCCCAGGAGAGCCAGCCCGGUGUCCCUGCAGCCACAACUGUUAGUAGGAUCCGCUCUCAGACACCUCCACACUUGGUUUUCCCAUCACCAAUAAACCUGGAAAGGCCAUGGCAGGAUCCAUCCUUUCAAGGAGAUGAAUUCAAGACAGAGGUAUGAUUUGUCCUCCAAAAGUGCCUCUUCCUCUCCCACAGAAACAACAAGGUGAACCAGAGUCUACAACUCAUGUUUUCCAACCUGAUCUAGUGGAAGAUGUUCCUGCUCACUGCAGGAGGUUUGGGCUAAAUGGCUUUUAAAUGUCUCUUCUGACCCAAAUUUUUCUGUGAUUCACAAAAUAGAUGCCACUCACAUCACGUGAGGGACAUCACUGCCUCUUUUCCUGCCCAUGCUGAUCUAUUGAGUGGAAUUAUGAGUGGGAAUGGGCCAAGGCCAAGUUCACUUACAGCAGCUCCUCACCAGGGAGUAAAUGUUGUUGACUGUGAAGCUAAGGAGGAAGAGGAAUUGCCUGUCAUGAUGUGGUCUGGAGCAGGACCCCAGAAGCAAGUCUUCACCUUGGAGGUGGUGAGGGGGAAAGGAGGUAGUGUAGGAUGAGAAAGAAUAGAGAUGUCUUGGAGUUGUGAGGAGAGAGAUGGCUUGACAGGAUAUGAAAGUCUCCCAGAGAGAAACCUGGAAGAUUCCUCUCUGGAAAACACCCAGUAUAUGGUACCUAGGACAUGCAAGCAAUGAGGUGGACUUAAUUCCCACCCUAACCCCCCCAGCUACACACCUUGCUUCAAGCUAAACCCACUCUGCUAUCUAACCCAAAGGGACCAGUCUUGUCCUGGAGGAAACAGGGAAACCAGUAAAACCAGCUGACAAGUUGUCAGCCAGUGGAGAUCUAUCCCAUCUUUGCCUGGACUGUGAGCAGGGAGAGAUUCCCUCACUCCUCCUGAACCAGAGAGGGACUGGGCUCCUGUGGGCUCCGUGCUGGAAUAGCCCAUCCGUGCUCCCAGAUCCGCAGGUUGCAAACACGGCGGCAACGCCUUCGUGCAGUCCCCUCUCCUGGAUGCUCCUCCUCUCCGCUGAGGGACGGUCCUGCUCCACGGGGCCCUCGGAGAGCUCAGCCAGAGGUUAGCAGCCACCCCGGCUCACAGGAGCCAUCAUUCCCAUCGGGAGAUAAGGCUCCCCUUGAUAACAAGACCUGCCAGAAACGAGCCUCCAGUUUUUCCACCUUUUUGAAGUCUAGCCGGUGAAGUUUUGCAGAACCUUGUCUGUUUGCCAAAGUAACCAACUUCCAGCCCCAGCCUUUGCCUUCCCUCCUUUUCCCCGACCUCCUCCCCCCCUGCCUUCCCUCUUCCUCCUCGCUCCUCCACGCACACGCCUCUCCGUGGGGCUGAUAGAGAUGCUGGAGGGGGUGGACACGGCGAGGGGCUGAUGUCAUCUGUUUUUGGUCCUUCAGAGGAGCAGGCGCUGCCGGAGGAGGAGGAGGCAGGGGUUAGACACGUCUGCCUCUACCCAGCCUGGCGCCGGGAGCAACUGGGAGCCUUCCCUUGGCAGCCGCCCCUGCGCCUUAUCAGGGGGCAGGAUGACACCUCGGGGACGGGAUGCCGGGGCUGCAAAGGGAAAGGAGGCGGGGAGCCCCUGAAUGUGAGCCUUGAGAGAGGCGUGGACGCCUGGGUGUGCACAGGGAUGUGUGUGUGUGAGUGUGUGAGCUCACUGGGAGCAGGGAAAUCGCUCCCAGCAGGAUGGAGCCGGCUAUCAGCCGCCGGGGAAGCAAAGGAGAAAACGACUCGGUGCCAAAGCCCAGCCGAGUCAAGGGCGAUGCUGUCGCCCAGCUCCGCUCCUGCUCGGCCCUGGGAAAGUUUAACCUCUCAUAUCCCAGCCAGAAGACCUGGAAAAUCCUGCGCGACCAUCUGGAAAGGGUUAGAAGAUCCCCCUUGCCAUCAAAGGAGGAGGUCAGGGCAGAGGGAGGGAGGUAAAUCCAUCUGUCCCACACCCAAAGCUUGGGUUCAGGAGGUAUCUCUAGCAGAGCUGAGUACAAAUUUAUGAUGGAAAUGGUUUUGAGAUGGAGCGCUGUGUCCCUCUCCAGAAGGUUUUGGCUUUUUUUUUUUUACACUUGAAAUGGAGACCCAUCAUUCCCCAUAAAACAACAGUAACUCUGACACCUCCACCUUUUUCUUCUCUCCCCAGAAAUGGGGUUUGAUUCAAAAAGUAUGAAAUAUUUGUGGUUAAAUGCAGAACAAACUAUGCUUCCUAUCUCCUGCAACAGGAGGGAAAAGCCUUGUGGGACCCAGGAGAUGCAGCCCAAGGAGAGAGAUUUCCUUACACCCAUGGUCUUUUAAUAUAUUUAAUUUUUUAUUAUGCAUUAAUGUUAGAAAGGAUAUUUCCCCCCCAUUCUGAUGGAUCGUCUUACUCAUUUUGGAUACCAUUCCUCUAGAGGAAAAUGGAGAUUUGAGGAGAGGAUCUACAGCCCCUGAGGCACAGGACAGAAAUCUAAAGGAGUGCUUCUUUUCCAGCUGAAAAAAAUUAUAAAAUUAAUUUUCUUUUGCUUGGAAUAAAUAAGAUUUCCUGCAAAA